rnacentral:rRNA from 1 species
UACGUAGGGGGCAAGCGUUGUCCGGAUUUAUUGGGCGUAAAGAGCGUGUAGGCGGCCACACAGGUCUGCUGUGAAAACUCGAGGCUCAACCUCGAGCUGUCGGUGGAAACCGUGUGGCUAGAGUCCGGAAGAGGAGAGUGGAAUUCCCGGUGUAGCGGUGAAAUGCGCAGAUAUCGGGAAGAACACCCGUGGCGAAGGCGGCUCGCUGAGCCGAAACUGACGCUGAGGCACGAAAGCGUGGGGAGCGAACAGG